rnacentral:lncRNA from 1 species
CCGCUGCGUGCACCAAGUGCUUUGAAAGUUUUUCGCGGAUUAAAACGAAUAAAAACCUCGUCGAAAGGCAAAGAAGGCAGGGUUGAAAAGUACUCAGCUCGACACCGGAGAAAAAAGAAACCCCCAUAGGAACUCCGGUUGUUCGGGUGUGUCCUAACAGCCUCACUCUGGACCUCUUGGACCUGGUGAGUCCGUGUCCCCAGUCCCUGCGGGGACAGCUCAGGAAGAGAGCGGGUUCCAGGACAGCCCAAGCAUCCGAAUCAAGUUAUCUACACCUUCGAGACUGAGCAAUAGAUGAACGAAUCGAGUCUAUUUGGGCAUUUUCCAGGGGAAAUGAAAGUGUAUGCCCAAAGAAGGACUUGUAUUUCAAUGUUCGUAGAAGUUUUAUGCACAAGAGUCCAAAACUGCAAAAAAAUCCGAAAGUUCAUCAACUGGGAUGGUGUGAAGUGUCUACAGGCAUCCGAGUGAACCCAAAGGGAGAGUUUGGCUGGCACACGGGGAGACGGGCCAAGGCGCGGCGGGCGAGGGCGGCACAAGCAUGGCGCUGCGACACCACUGCUGGGAGCAGGGCUGAAAGGUGUCUUUUGCUGUAAGGACUUUCAUAAGGCAGUCCCAAUCCAAAGACUGGCUUUAAUUUCACGGCCUUAGCCUCUCAGUUUCUUAAGCCUUCUGAGGACCUCCUGAUCAUGACAAUUAAGUCACUAUUUACAGCCAUGUGACAGAUAAAUCAGUAUUAGGUGAUUUGUUCUGAAGGACCCCCAAAAGGAAACAUAUGAGAGAACCCACACUCGGCACAGGAACGGCAAGAGUCCUCCUGUGAG